rnacentral:rRNA from 1 species
CCCGUCACACCAUGGGAGUGGGUUGCAAAAGAAGUCAAUAGCUUAACCGCAAGGAGGGCGUUGACCACUUUGUGAUUCAUGACUGGGGUGAAGUCGUAACAAGGUAGCCGUAGGGGAACCUGCGGCUGGAUCACCUCCUUUAA